rnacentral:rRNA from 1 species
AACGAACGCUGGCGGCGCGCCUAAUACAUGCAAGUCGAGCGAGAAGACGUAGCAAUACGUUUGUAAAGCGGCGAACGGGUGAGGAAUACAUGGGUAACCUACCCUCGAGUGGGGAAUAACUAGCCGAAAGGUUAGCUAAUACCGCGUACGCUCCUUGGACUUCGGUUCAGGGAGGAAAGCGAUACCGUGGGUAUCGCGCUCUUGGAUGGGCUCAUGUCCUAUCAGCUUGUUGGUGAGGAACGGCUCACCAAGGCUUCGACGGGUAGCUGGUCUGAGAGGACAAUCAGCCACACUGGCACUGCGACACGGGCCAGACCCCUACGGGAGGCAGCAGUAAGGAAUAUUGCGCAAUGGGCGAAAGCCUGACGCAGCGACGCCGCGUGGGGAUGAAGUCUUCGGAUUGUAAACCCCUUUCGGGAGGGAAGAUGGAACGAGCAAUCGUUCGGACGGUACCUCCAGAAGCAGCCACGGCUAACUUCGUGCCAGCAGCCGCGGUAAG